rnacentral:rRNA from 1 species
UACGUAGGUGGCAAGCGUUGUCCGGAUUUACUGGGCGUAAAGGGCGUGCAGGCGGUCUGUUAAGUGCAGGGUGAAAGCUCCCGGCUCAACUGGGAGAGGUCCUUGCAUACUGGCGGACUUGAGGGGGGUAGAGGAAAGUGGAAUUCCCGGUGUAGUGGUGAUAUGCGUAGAUAUCGGGAGGAACACCUGUGGCGAAGGCGGCUCUCUGGGACGGUACUGACGCUGAGACGCGAAAGCGUGGGGAGCGAACAGG